UUAGGUAGCGCCUCGUGAAUUCAUCUCCGGGGGUAGAGCACUGUUUCGGCUAGGGGGCCAUCCCGGCUUACCAACCCGAUGCAAACUGCGAAUACCGGAGAAUGUUAUCACGGGAGACACACGGCGGGUGCUAACGUCCGUCGUGAAGAGGGAAACAACCCAGACCGCCAGCUAAGGUCCCAAAGUCAUGGUUAAGUGGGAAACGAUGUGGGAAGGCCCAGACAGCCAGGAUGUUGGCUUAGAAGCAGCCAUCAUUUAAAGAAAGCGUAAUAGCUCACUGGUCGAGUCGGCCUGCGCGGAAGAUGUAACGGGGCUAAACCAU
rnacentral:rRNA from 1 species